AACGAACGCUGGCGGCGUGCCUAACACAUGCAAGUCGAACGAGAAAGGGGCUUCGGCUCCGAGUAAAGUGGCGCACGGGUGGGUAACACGUGGGUAACCUGCCUCUAAGAUUGGGAUAACUCGUCGAAAGAUGAGCUAAUACCGAAUGAGACCACAGUUCCUGCGGGAAAAGAGGUCAAAGGUAGCCUCUGCUUGCAAGCUAUCACUUAGAGAUGGGCCUGCGCACCAUUAGCUAGUUGGUAGGGUAACGGCCUACCAAGGCAAAGAUGGUUAGCUGGUCUGAGAGGAUGAUCAGCCACACUGGAACUGAGACACGGUCCAGACUCCUACGGGAGGCAGCAGUGGGGAAUAUUGCGCAAUGGGCGAAAGCCUGACGCAGCAACGCCGCGUGAGUGAUGAGGGCCUUCGGGUCGUAAAGCUCUGUCGGGAGGAACGAAUGCUCCUGAGGUUAACAGCCUCGGGAGGUGACGGUACCUUCAAAGGAAGCACCGGCUAACUCUGUGCCAGCAGCCGCCGUAACAC
rnacentral:rRNA from 1 species